rfam:Glycine soja cultivar W05 scaffold7578_25, whole genome shotgun sequence.
AAGACAAGAGGCAUGCAAAUAGCCGAGGAAGCUUGCCAAUUUACCAAACAAGGGUCUUCAUAUGAGACAAAUUAAUUAAAUAAAGUCCCGUAGAAUGGAAUAGUUAGGCAAGUCCAUCCUUGGCUACCAGACAUGACUCUUGUCU